rnacentral:ribozyme from 1 species
GCUCAAAAAAGGCACCAAAGACAGAAAAACUUGCCAGUAAAUAAAAAUAAAAAUAGAAAAAAUGACAGUAAAAAAGUAGCUGAUGCUUCGGAUGCGUCUAGUAA